UCUUAGGUGGGUGCUUAAAUCUCCAUUUCCACAAAAUUCACAUUUCUACACUUUUAUUUUUAAAUUCCAAAUUUCAUUAAAAUUUAAAUUAAACAUUGCAAUAAAAAUAAAAAUUACAUAAUUUAAAUAUUAAAAAAAUUACAUAAUUUAAAUAAUUAAGAUUUUAAAAGAAAAAAAAACAAAACAAAACAAAAUUCCCCACCCCCACCGACUCCCCUUUUCUUCUUCUCUUUCCCCACCAACUCCCUUCCUUCCCCCUUCCCCUCCACCCCUAUCUGCGUCUCUUUUCCAGCAAAACAUUCAGCAAAAAUUCACUCCAAGUCUUUCCUUCGCCAAAAUUCCCAGGUUUUGUACUUUUUUUUAAUCAAACCGUGCGCGUGUAGCGCACGAUUUUGCCGAAUUCCGCCAACGCCCCGUGUCUAGGCUUCGCCUCGGCCUCGGAACUGGCCGGGUCUCCAGCGC
rnacentral:lncRNA from 1 species